rnacentral:rRNA from 1 species
CCUACGGGAGGCAGCAGUGAGGAAUAUUGGUCAAUGGGCGCGAGCCUGAACCAGCCAAGUCGCGUGAGGGAAGACGUUCCUAUGGAUUGUAAACCUCUUUUGUCGGGGAGCAAAAGGCGCCACGCGUGGCAUUCCGAGAGUACCCGAUGAAAAAGCAUCGGCGAACUACUUGCCAGAAGCCGCGGUAAUACGGAGGAUGCGAGCGUUAUCCGGAUCUAUGGGGUUUAAGGGGUGCGAGGGUGGAAGAUAAAGUCAGCGGUAAAAUUGAGAGGUUCAACCUGUUCGAGCCGUUGAAACUGGUUGACUAGAGUGAGUGAGAGGUAUGCGGAAUGCGUGGUGUAGCGGUGAAAUGCAUAGAUAUCACGCAGAACUCCGAUUGCGAAGGCAGCAUACCGGCGAGCAACUGACGUUCAGGCACGAAAGUGUGGGUAGCGAACAGGAUUAGAUACCCCAGUAGUC